GUAGAUGAUCAAAUCCUCGGAAAGCUUGCUCAGGUGAAUCGACGUAAGAGAUGCCCAAAAUAGGAACUCAGCUGUUUCAAAAAUAAAAGGAUUUUUAACAAAGGCCAUCAAUCGACGUCUUACCAAUAAAGUCUCGAUCUCCAACAGCUACCAUGCUAUUUCUCACAAUGCUUUCAAAGCCAAGUUCAAUCGCCAUUUCGGUUCUGUCAAUGGGAAAAGGAUUUCCUGCUAAUGCACCACAUCCUAAAGGCAUGGAGUUAACUCGUUUGCGGAUCUCCAGCAAUCUCUCCAAGUCACUCUUCAUGGCCCAGUAUGUCUUAUCACGGGACUAUAGUUUCGAGCCAAAUACAUUUCUGAGCGAGAAACUUGUUUCAUAUGUUUACCUAAGUAUCCA